UUAGCUCCUGAUUCGAAUUGGAUUCGAAUCUGAUUCGAAUUGGAUUCGAAUCUGAUUCGAAUUGGAUUCGAAUUUGAUUCUUAAUUGAUCUAAUUUGAUUAGAUCAUGUUCUAAUAUGGGUUAGCCAAGAGUUGGCACCUAAUUGGCUUGGUUUGAGUCUAAUUAGAUUAGAUUUGAUAAAUUAUUCAAUCUAGACCGUUAGAUCUUGAUCUACCAUUGGAUGAAGACAUAAUGGUGAGUUGGUUUAACCCAAUUGGAUUGGGU
rnacentral:lncRNA from 1 species